rnacentral:rRNA from 1 species
GACGAACGCUGGCAGCGUGCCUAAUACAUGCAAGUCGAACGAACCGCGACUGAGUGCUUGCACUUGGUCAAGGUGAGUGGCGAACGGGUGAGUAACACGUGGGUAACCUACCUCAUAGUGGGGGAUAACAGUCGGAAACGACUGCUAAUACCGCAUAGGACAUGGAAUCACAUGAUUCUGUGAGGAAAGGUGGCGCAAGCUAUCGCUAAGAGAUGGACCCGCGGUGCAUUAGCUAGUUGGUAGGGUAAGGGCCUACCAAGGCGAUGAUGCAUAGCCGACCUGAGAGGGUGAUCGGCCACAUUGGGACUGAGACACGGCCCAAACUCCUACGGGAGGCAGCAGUAGGGAAUCUUCCGCAAUGGACGCAAGUCUGACGGAGCAACGCCGCGUGAGUGAAGAAGGUCUUCGGAUCGUAAAGCUCUGUUGUUAGAGAAGAACAGCGCAUAGAGUAACUGUUAUGCGUGUGACGGUAUCUAACCAGAAAGCCACGGCUAACUACGUG